CCCACAUUCAUAUGUGUAGGACUCUAAAGGAUCACCAUUAAAUUUGGCACAGAUCUAUAGAAAGGUUAUCACAUGGGUGUGAGACUUGAUUUUUCUAGAGAUCUGUGCCAAAUUUAAUAGUGAUCCUUUGGGGUCCUAUACACAUGGGUGUGGG
rfam:Amborella trichopoda AMTR_V1.0_contig_37995, whole genome shotgun sequence.